UGAAACCCAACAAAAUAAAUGUUCAGUACAAAUGUACAUGUAUUUUAUUUCUGUCAAGAACAUAGAUUUGAGUCAUGUGAUAAUGUUUAACAGUAAAUAAUCUGUGUCCUGUUGAAUAGUUGAUCAUGUUAAGACAAAAAAGGGUGUGUAAUGAAUUUUUACUUGAUCACUAUACAUUUGCAAAGGACAAGUAUAAUGAAAAUAGAUUUCAAUAAAAUUUGUUUUUUAAAUCGAUUUUGUUUUAUAUAACAGGUGAUUUUAGAGUAUUUAUUUUUUCCUGUUACUGUUUGUAUUGUGAGUGAUGAUAAAUCUGUAUAGUGUGUGUAUUUCAAUGUUGUGCAUGAUAGCAGUUUCAUCACAAUUCUGUGAAUAAUUUCAGUUUCUUUGUCUACAAAGACAAUAGUGUAUAGAUCUGCCUGUCUAUUUAAUAUGAGAUGCCAUAUAAAAAAGGACCAUCAUUCUGUUUAAAUAUUUCAAAAAUCUUGGUUUAAUGAAUUUGUAAAGCUUUACAUGUACUGUGGAAUUAUUUAAUUUCACGGGAAUCAGAUUUCAUUGUUUUGCCGAAACAGAUAUAUCAUUGGGAUAUGAAAUUGUAGAUUACUACUUUUGAAGGUUAAAGAAUGGGAUUUUUACUUGUUCAUUGGGGUUAUAUUUCAUGGAUUGACACUACAGUGAAAUCCACGAAAAAUGUCGCCCCACACAAAUAUUAAUGAUGUCACAGUAGUUAUAUUGGUACUGAUUAAAGUAUAGGAGUUGGUAAGCUAUUACAUUACAUAAAAUACAAUUUUUAUUACCAAGCAUUGUUUAAUAAAGAUGGCUUGUUUAAGUGGUGACAGCACACAAGUAUUUUGUAAUGAUAUGCAGGAAUCUGCACUGUAAAAUUAAAUAAAAUGUGACAACAUA
rnacentral:lncRNA from 1 species